UACAGAGGGUGCAAGCGUUAAUCGGAAUUAUUGGGCGUAAAGCGCGUGUAGGCGGCUUUGCAAGUCGGGUGUGAAAGCCCUCAGCUCAACUGAGGAAGUGCGCCCGAAACUGCAGAGCUUGAGUACCGGAGAGGAUGGCGGAAUUCCCCAAGUAGAGGUGAAAUUCGUAGAUAUGGGGAGGAACACCGGUGGCGAAGGCGGCCAUCUGGACGGAUACUGACGCUGAGACGCGAAAGCGUGGGGAGCAAACAGG
rnacentral:rRNA from 1 species